GUUUAACAAUCUCUAUUUCCUUUCAAACCUCGUUUGACUGCCAUUCCAGUCAAAUUCACAGGCAAUUAAACUUCCUCCUGCAUCUCGGAGCAGGCCUCUGUAUCAUCAUUUCUCCUCUGCAAGUGUAUCUUCUUCGGGCACGUGGAAAGGUCUUAGUGCACCUGCGGUAUUUAGGGACUUGAUCCUCUUUCCUCUUUAUUGUCAAAGUUGUGGCUUGCCGAAGUCAGGACAGAGUCUGAUUAUGACAUGUUAGCAAUCGUCACAUCUCAUUUUUAAGCCUCAAAGCGCUCCAAAGGUCCACUUGCAGAUUCUACAAAAAGAGUGUUUCCAAACAGCUCAAUCAAAAGAAAUUUUUGACUAUGUGAGAUGAACGCACUCAUCCCAAAGAUGUUUCUCAGAAUUCUUCUGUCUAGUUUUUAUAUGAAGAUACUUCCUUUUCCACGAUGGGCCUCAAUGUGAUCCAAAUAUCCACUUGCAGAUUCUACAAAAGGAGUGUUUCAAAACUCCUCAAUCAAAAGAAAGAUUUAACUCUGUGAGAUGAAUGCAACAUCACAAAGAAGUUUCUCAGAUUGCUUCUGUCUGGAUUUUAUGUGAAGAUAUUUCCUUUUCCACCAUAGGCCUUUAAGAGCUCCAAAUGUCCACUUCCAGAUUCUAUGAAAAGAGAGUCGCAAAAUUGCUCAAUCAAGAGAAAGUUUUAACUCUGUGAGAUAAAUGCACACAUCAUAAAAAAAUUUCUCAGUU
rnacentral:lncRNA from 1 species